CCCUCCUGUCAAACUAAUACGUUCUUAGAUCCCCAAUGACCCUCUAGAACACAUCUCUCUGAGUUUCACCAGAGUAUGGCUCGUGCCCAUACAGCAGCUAAAACUUCAUGUGAAGGCGCUUAGCUACCUGAUGAAUAUUCUUCCAACGUUUCUGUUUUGCUGUUACAUCGCUACUACCUCGCUCACCAACCAACAGUUGACCUGCAGGGGGAAACCUUCUAACCAAGGCCUUUAGAAAGAAACAAGGAGAUUAGGGACAGAGGUGUUGGAGGCAAAUCAGAGGAAUUAACUGUCUUUAACAGAGAGGUCAUGGCGUAAGCCUGCCGUGUCAUUUACAGUAUGUAUCAUUUACAGUAUGUAUCAUUUACAGUAUGUAUCAUAUCAUUUACAGUAUGUAUCAUUUACAGUAGGUAUCAUUUACAGUAGGUAUAAUUCCACAUGAUCUAUGGGAUGGUUGUGCAUCUGGAAUAUGAACAUAGCUUAAACUAGCUGAAAGAAUGUUCCCUAGCCUAGAAUGUUCCCUAGCCUGGAAUGUUCCCUAGCCUAGAAUGUUCCCUAGCCUGGAAUGUUCCCCUAGCCUAGAAUGUUCCCUAGCCUAGAAUGUUCCCUAGCCUGGAAUGUUCCCUAGCCUAGAAUGUUCCCUAGCCUGGAAUGUUCCCUAGCCUGGAAUGUUCCCUAGCCUAGAAUGUUCCCUAGCCUGGAAUGUUCCCUAGCCUGGAAUGUUCCCUAGCCUAGAAUGUUCCCUAGCCUAGAAUGUUCCCUAGCCUAGAAUGUUCCCUUUCAUUUAAAAGUAGAGAAUUCUGUUGUUUAUUUUUUGUUCUUCAUAAUCAUACUGCUGGCAAUAGAGGAGAGAAGUGUUGAUGCAUGUUCCUAAUUGGUUUCCAACUCUGUUUCCAGUCUCUUGUUAAUAUGAUGAGGUAAUCUGCCAUCUCAUUACGUUCAGCACAUAGUUAACUAUGAACCGUUCAUCCCUCUGGAGAACUAAGGUUGUAUUAAUUAAUCACUGAUGUAGGCAGGCGUCCCAAAAGGGUGCCAUUUGGAGCACACAGCCAUAGAGUGAUUAAUCAUAGGAGUAGUAUCUCUCUAGAUCAGUGUCUUACUCGGUGAGCAUACUGCCAAAAUAAGGAAGCCUUGUCCAAGCCAGAGCGGCCCAAAGGGCAGGAGCCUGUCUCCUGUUUCUGAAGCGUGAGGCAACUUAAUGUACUAGUACACCCCCUGGACAGGACACUAGUCUGUCUGUCUAUACUGGUAUAUAUUAAUGUACUAGUACAC
rnacentral:lncRNA from 1 species